rnacentral:tRNA from 1 species
GGAGAGGUGACUGAGUGGCCGAAAGUGGCACCCUGCUAAGGUGUUGUUCUGGUAACGGAACCGUGGGUUCGAAUCCCACCCUCUCCG